CUAGUCGAGCGCUUCCUAGCCAAUUUGGGAGCGCAGCGCACAGCUCAGUAACACGUGGCUAAUCUGCCCUUGGGACCGGAACACCCCCGGGAAACUGGGGCUAAUUCUCGAUAGGUGAAGAACUCUGGAAUGAGUCUUUGCCAAAAAGACGUUUACGUUAUGCUCGUAGGCGUCGCCCAAGGAUGAGGCCGCGACCGAUCAGGUUGUUGGUGAGGUAAUGGCUCACCAAGCCCUUUACCGGUGCGGGCCGUGAGAGCGGGAGCCCGGAGAUGGGCACUGAGACAAGGGCCCAGGCCCUACGGGGCGCAGCAGUCGCGAAAACUUUGCAAUACACGAAAGUGUGACAGGGCUAUCCCGAGUGCCAUCCGCUGAGGAAGGCUUUUACCCAGUCUAGAACGCUGGGGGAAUAAGGAGAGGGCAAGUCUGGUGUCAGCCGCCGCGGUAAUACCAGCUCUCCGAGUGGUGUGGAUGUUUAUUGGGCUUAAAGCAUCCGUAGCUGGCUGAGUUAGUCCCUUGUUAAAUCCACCGAAUUAAUCGUUGGAUUGCGGGGGAUACUGCUCGGCUAGGGGACGAGAGAGGCAGACGGUAUUUCUGGGGUAGGGGUGAAAUCCUAUAAUCCCAGGAGGACCACCAGUGGCGAAGGCUGUCUGCUAGAACGCGCCCGACGGUGAGGGAUGAAAGCUGGGGGAGCGAACCGGAUUAGAUACCCGGGUAGUCCCAGCUGUAAACGAUGCAGACUAGGU
rnacentral:rRNA from 1 species